AUUGAACGCUGGCGGCAUGCUUUACACAUGCAAGUCGAACGGUAACAGGCCGCUAGGUGCUGACGAGUGGCGGACGGGUGAGUAAUGCAUCCGAACGUGUCCAGUCGUGGGGGUUAACUACUCGCAAGAGUAGCUAAUACCGCAUACGAUCUAUGGAUGAAAGCGGGGGACCGUAAUGGCUCGCGCGAUUGGUGCGGCCGAUGCCGGAUUCGGUAGUUGGUGGGGUAAAGGCUGACCAUGCCAACGAUCUGUAGCUGUUCUGAGAGGCCAACCGGCCACACUGGAACUGAGACACGGCCCAGACGACUAAGGGAGGCAGCAGUGGGGAAUGUUGGGCAAUGGGCGCAAGCCUGAUCCAGCAAUGCCGCGUGAAGGAAGAAGGCCUUCGGGUUGUAAACUGCUUUUGUACGGAACGAAACGGCUCUGGUUAAUACCCGGGGCUAAUGACGGUACCGUAAGAAUAAGCACCGGCUAACUACGUG
rnacentral:rRNA from 1 species